CUACGGGGGGCUCCAGUGAGGAAUAUUGCACAAUGGGGGGAACCCUGAUGCAGCAACGCCGCGUGGAGGAUGACGCAUUUCGGUGUAUAAACUCCUUUUAUAUGUCAAGAAAAUGACGGUAGCAUAUGAAUAAGCACCGGCUAACUCCGUGCCAGCAGCCGCGGUAAUACGGAGGGUGCAAGCGUUACUCGGAAUCACUGGGCGUAAAGGACGCGUAGGCGGGCUUGUAAGUCAGGUGUGAAAUCCUACAGCUUAACUGUAGAACUGCACUUGAAACUACGAGCCUAGAGUAUGGGAGGGGCAGAUGGAAUUAGCGGUGUAGGGGUAAAAUCCGUAGAUAUCACUAGGAAUACCUAAAGCGAAGGCGAUCUGCUGGAACAUAACUGACGCUAAGGCGUGAAAGCGUGGGGAGCAAACAGGAUUAGAUACCCCUGUAGUC
rnacentral:rRNA from 1 species